rnacentral:rRNA from 1 species
GACGAACGCUGGCGGCGUGCUUAACACAUGCAAGUCGAACGAUGAAGCUGGAGCUUGCUCCGGCGGAUUAGUGGCGAACGGGUGAGUAACACGUGAGCAAUCUGCCCUUCACUCUGGGAUAACUGCGGGAAACUGUAGCUAAUACCGGAUACGAAGCCUUGGGGCAUCCCAGGGCUGGGAAAGAAUUUCGGUGAAGGAUGAGCUCGCGGCCUAUCAGCUAGUUGGUGAGGUAAUGGCUCACCAAGGCGACGACGGGUAGCCGGCCUGAGAGGGUGACCGGCCACACUGGGACUGAGACACGGCCCAGACUCCUACGGGAGGCAGCAGUGGGGAAUAUUGCACAAUGGGCGAAAGCCUGAUGCAGCAACGCCGCGUGAGGGAUGAAGGCCUUCGGGUUGUAAACCUCUUUUAGUAGGGAAGAAGCGCAAGUGACGGUACCUACAGAAAAAGCACCGGCUAACUACGUGCCAGCAGCCGCCGUAA